rnacentral:lncRNA from 1 species
CAGACAUGGAGCUCAUGCACCAUUUCCUCUUGGGGAGCUCAGCUCUGCCAGCCCUGCCCACACGGAGGGAACAGGGAGCAGGUGCUGGCUGAAGGUGUGGCAGGAGCUCCUGAGAGCUCCUGAGGAGUUGAUUCCGUGCAUGAAGUUAACUGCUGGGACUGGCACUCUUACAGAUAUCCAGAGGUCCCCGUGUCCUCCUGACCCUGGGCUUCAGUGCAGCCUGACACGAAGGGAGGGUAGGGCAGGAACGGUGCAGGGCCAAGGCUGUCAGAGCACAAGCACUUGGAGCUGCAAUCAUGUGCAUAAAAGGCUUCAGAGCUGCCUGAGAACUAGCACUGAAGAUAUAUCCUUGACAUUUUCGGGUGCUGAACAUUUAUCAGAGGUCUGAACUCCUGUAGAUGUUUUGUGUGGACUCAGCCCCAAUGCAGAGGACAUCUUCCUCCAGGAUCUCCCAGCCCCUCAGGAACACACUUGCACCAGGAAAGGCAUCUGCAACCCAUGGAGCUGUGGCCCAUUUUGUCUUGAUAUUCCAGCCAGCAAAUAACCUCAUGUCCCAGAGAAAUGUAUUGCAACUUGGAUGAAAACCUAUGAAAUGAUGUCACCUUAAACGAUUUCAAUACUAAAUCUGUGUCAUCCUCCUCUGUUUAUCCUUUGAGAUUUGACUUCUUCUUAUAUAACAGAUAGGGUUUUUUGAUAUAUGGCCUUCAGAUUAACUCAAAGGCAAAAUAAAU